CCGCGCCCGCCACCUGAGAGCCAAGGUUUUCUGGUCUGUGCGAAUUGAAUCUGGUCGUGCCGCUGGCCCCUGGGCCACCGCCAUGCGCAUCAGAGAUACCGACGGUCUAAAGCGUCCGUGCAGGUCUCGCGCAGUUUCCGAGCUGAGCAAUCGGUCCGGCGACGUAGAUAGCACGAUAGGUCG
rnacentral:ncRNA from 1 species